CGGGGUGCACCAGGCGCGAAAACUUUACAAUGCCGGCAACAGCGAUAAGGGAACCUCGAGUGCCAGGUUACAAAUCUGGCUGUCGUGAUGCCUAAAAAGCAUUGCAUAGCAAGGGCCGGGCAAGACCGGUGCCAGCCGCCGCGGUAACACCGGCGGCUCGAGUGGUAACCGUUAUUAUUGGGUCUAAAGGGUCUGUAGCCGGCCGGAUAAGUCUCUUGGGAAAUCCGGCAGCUCAACUGUCGGGCUUUCAGGAGAUACUGUCUGGCUCGAGGCCGGGAGAGGUGAGAGGUACUUCAGGGGUAGGGGUGAAAUCUUGUAAUCCUUGAAGGACCACCAGUGGCGAAGGCGUCUCACCAGAACGGACCUGACGGCAAGGGACGAAAGCUAGGGGCACGAACCGGAUUAGAUACCCGGGUAGUCCUAGCCGUAAACGAUACUCGCUAGGUGUCGGCCACGGUGCGACCGUGGUCGGUGCCGUAGGGAAGCCGUGAAGCGAGCCACCUGGGAAGUACGGCCGCAAGGCUGAAACUUAAAGGAAU
rnacentral:rRNA from 1 species